rnacentral:rRNA from 1 species
UACGAAGGGGGCUAGCGUUGCUCGGAAUUAUUGGGCGUAAAGCGCACGUAGGCGGUUCGUUAAGUCGGAUGUGAAAGCCCUCGGCUCAACUGAGGAAGUGCACCCGAAACUGGCGAGCUUGAGUACGAAAGAGGAUCGCGGAAUUCCCGGUGUAGAGGUGAAAUUCGUAGAUAUCAGGAGGAACACCGGUGGCGAAGGCGGGUCUCUGGGCAGUAACUGACGCUGGAGGAGCGAAAGCGUGGGGAGCGAACAGG